CUCACAGCCUCAGCACUGCUCACACAGAAUUCCUGCCAGUUGUAAACUUCCAGCAUGGCUGUAAGUAAGCACUGAGCCAAAUGUCCGCCAUAAACUGAUAUUCCAGAGGCUCUCCAUCCUUGCUACACCUGUCGCCAGAGUGGAAGUGCAAGUGUUGUAUUGCUCCAUGUCAUUAGACACAGAUAUCUUGGCCACAAUGGACUGAACCAGAGACUGGCUCCCUAGCUAAAAGCCAUAUGACAUAUAUGGUAGCCCAGUGGCUUACAAAGUAGCCAAGUGCCAGAUAAGUGUGCUCCUUUUUUGAAUGAAGACCAGCCAACCUAGUGAGAGCUUCUCUCUGGAGGAGUGAAUUAGUGACACAAGAAGUAAAAGGAAGAAAUAGAGGCAGGGUGGCCAUAGAGAGAACUCAAGAGUAGAGAGAGAAGCAGCUAGAAAAGAAGCGGAGUGUUGAGAACAGCAAAGUCACUAGAGUAGGUCCCGACAGGUGCUGUUGACAGAGAGGACAAGAGGAUCUUGGAGCUCCUGAGGAUCUGGAAUGAUGCUUCAAUUCCUUGUGAUACGUACUGUGGGAAAAUUGAGGUGCUUUCCUAACCCUCCUCAACUCCCCAAGGGUUUCUUGCGAGAUCCUGAUCACCUGAGGGAUCUCAAGCCUGUCUCCUCCUUCUGACCCAAAAUGAGUAAACUGAGACAAAAGGAGAUCAAGUAGAAUGGAAGCCUUCGUGUUGAAUGCACUGGAGGGGCCUUGGUGACUUGCUUGACAGAGUAUGGUGAAAAUGAUGCUGUGUGACUUCCACGCUUAAGUCACAAAGAUGCCACACCCUUCUGCCUUGUUCUUUUGUCACACUGCCUCUUGGAAUGUGGCCACAUGCUGCAAGGAAGCCCAAGCAAACUGUAGAGAUGCCACAUGGACAGAAACCAAGGCCCAUAGCCCCUAGUCCUGACUGAGCUCCCAGCUGGCACCAGCACCAACAUGCCAGCCAUGUGAAUGAACUACCUCCAGUCCCAGUCAAGCCACUCUACCUCACACCAUGUGGAGUAGAGAUGAGCCAUCUCUGUUGAGCACUUCCCAAUCACAGACACCUGUGCCCAGCUGAGACUGCCACCUCCCUACCCAAGGACAGAUAUUCUUCUGGUAAUGACAACCAAGUAAAGUGCAAGUGUUUGGAGCUAAUGGCUGCCUUGUUGCCCAGUGGAAGGUUGUAACUGUACGUUUGGGAGGAGAUUUAAAAGUAAGAGAAGAAUUCUUCCCUCCCCUCAAGGCUGUGUUGGCAUUUAUUUUUCCUGUCAUGGACAGUUUUUUGUUUCGUUUAUUGUUUGUGCUGUUAUUAUUAUGAGUAUUAUUAUUACUUUCCCUGAGGAGAAUUACACUGGAGCUUAGAAGGAGGGGGAGGUGAGGCUGCAAGGAAGAUAUGUAUGGUAGACCAAAGAAUAGGCCCCAAAUAUGUCCAGGUUCUAGCCCCUGGAACUGGUGACUCUGUCACCUUACAAGGAGAAGGGAAGUUAAAAGGCAAACAUUUUUAGAGUGAAUAGAAAAGUAGGACUCAACUAUAUCCUGUUUGCAAGAGACGCACUUUAAAUAUAAAAACACAAAUACUUUAAAAGCAAAAGAUGAGAAAAUGUGUACCCCAUUGCAAAUAGUAACUAUAAAAAAGCUGAGGGGCUGGCCCCAAGACCCAGUGGUUAAGUUCCCACGCUCCAAUUCAGCAGGCCAGGGUUUUGCUGGUUCAGGUCCUGGGUGCAGACAUGGUGCCGCUCGAUGGGCCACGUUGAGGUGGCAUCCCACAUGCCACGACUAGAAGGACCCACAACUAAAAUAUACAGCUAUGUCCUGGGGGGAUUUGGGGAGAAAAAGCAGAAAGAAAAAAAAAAGAUUGGCAACAGUUGUUAGCUCAGGUGCUAAUCUUUAAGAAGAAGAAGAAAAAAAAGCUGGUAUGGCAAAAUUAAUAUUGACCAAGUAACUUUCCAUACCAGAGAUAAUGAACAUUUCAUAAUGAAAAAAGGUCAAUUUAUCAAGAAGACAGAAUGAUCCUAUAUGUAAUAUACACCUAGAAGCAGAGCUAUAAAACUUACAAGCUAAACAGAGGAAUAGACAAAUUCAUAAUUACAGUGGAGUCAUUGAUAAAAACAUAAGUAAAAAAUCUGUAAUGAUAUAAGUUUGAACAAUAGUGACUUAUUUGUCAUAAUACAAAUUUAUAGAACACCACACCCAACAUUUGCAUAAGCAUAUUUUUUUAAGAUUCCAUGGAAACUACAUGAAGUGUACCACAUUAAACAUGACCACAAAUUAAUUGUCCCUUUUGCCAUCAAGAGGUAGAAUCUAUUUUCCCACCUUUUUAAUCUGAGCUGGGCUGUGAGUUGCUUUGACCAACUGAAUAUGGAAGAAUUGGUGUUAUACAACUUAUGAGUCAACAGAUUUGAGUCAAAUUCACUUUGACCCAACAGAUCUUUUAAAUCCCUAUGUUCAGAAAUUUAAGGAAAAGGGGAAAAAAAAAAAGAAAGCUGAUUUGGAGAGCUUUGUCUUGAGAUAACACUAAAACAACUAAGUGGAAGGUAGGGUACCAUAGAUUUGAAGAUAAAGGGAAUUUCAACAGGCUGCCGGAGUCAGCGCUCAGCUCUACCACUCACCAAAUGGGAAGCCUUUCACAUCUCACUUAGCCUCCGUCUGCCAGAGUUUCUUCAUCCAUAAAAUAGAAAUAAUAAACAUCCCCAAAAGUGCCUAGCACAGAGUAACGACUUAUUAAUGUUAAUGUGGUAAUGUUUUUAUUAAAUCAAGCACUCUGAAGGUCUCUGAAAAAAUCAUUAUAUUUAACUAUUAUAAUGAAAAAUUACAUUUAAGGAGGUAUUCAAUUGAUUUAUAUUCUGAAGCUGUGCCUUCAAAAACCGUUCUCAUCUGUAAUUUCCAAAUAAAAUUGCAUGUUUAAAAUAAUUCUAAAAUUAAAUAACAAUAACAAAUAAGUAAAGAUCAAAGCAACGGAAAUUUUAAGAGUGACAUGAUUCUGCUUCCAGAUCUAUCUGACCCCGUUCAUUGCCAGUGAAUUCCACUGGACUUCUUAAUUCAAGAGACAGUCCCUGGGUAAAGGAACUCUCAGCCAUAAAGGGAUUACUAAGAAACUGAAGCAGAGUGCUCUGUGAUGGGGUCCUCAUGGAGCCUGAGCAGUCAGGAAGAAGUUAGCUGUGGCAAAAAAAAAGAAGUAAAUUGUGGAUUCUGAUGCCAGCAGUGUUGGUGAAGAAGAAAAAGAAGAGGAAGGAGAAAGAGAAGAAAGAAGAGGAGGAGGGGGAGUAGGAGUAAGAGGAGAAGGAGAAGAAGAAGGAGGGGGAGGAGAAUUGGCAAGCGUUAGAGUCUACAGAGAUCUUAGAAGUUAUCUAAUCUGACUAGAGGAUGCUCUGCAAUCUCCCACGUGGUCGACAGUGUUGAUUUAUUUAUUUUUUAAAAAUUGUCACAUGACUUUUUAAUACAAAGGCUGUCCAGUUACUGAUGUACACACUGGUAAGCAGGGCCUCCUCUGCACAGUUUAACCUAUUUUGUG
rnacentral:lncRNA from 1 species